rnacentral:rRNA from 1 species
GACGAACGCUGGCGGCGUGCUUAACACAUGCCAGUCGAACGGAAAGGCCCUGCUUUUGUGGGGUGCUCGAGCGGCGAACGGGUGAGUAACACGUGAGUAACCUGCCCUUGACUUUGGGAUAACUUCAGGAAACUGGGGCUAAUACCGGAUAGGAGCUCCUGCUGCAUGGUGGGGGUUGGAAAGUUUCGGCGGUUGGGGAUGGACUCGCGGCUUAUCAGCUUGUUGGUGGGGUAGUGGCUUACCAAGGCUUUGACGGGUAGCCGGCCUGAGAGGGUGACCGGCAACAUGGGGACUGAGAUACGGCCCAGACUCCUACGGGAGGCAGCAGUGGGGAAUAUUGCAAAAUGGGCGGAAGCCUGAUGCAGCAACGCCGCGUGCGGGAUGACGGACUUCGGGUUGUAAACCGCUUUCGCCUGUGACGAAGCGUGAGUGACGGUAAUGGGUAAAGAAGCACCGGCUAACUACGUG